rnacentral:lncRNA from 1 species
GACUUAUCAGUAAAUUUAAAUUAAUCUUUAAGAAUAUUUUAGUGAACUAGUUAUAGACUAGAAGUCUGAAUAUUAUUAGUAAUUAUUAUGAAACUGAGUCCUUUUGAUCUUUUUUUAUUAUUUAUCUUAAAUAUUUAUUUCAUAAAAAUUUCAGUAGUCAUAUUUGUGAUCCUUUCAACAAGUGUGAUCAAGAUCAAAGUACUAAGUAUAAAUUAGAUAUGUUUAAGUUAUUUAUAAUAAUUUAAUAUAAAAAAUAUAGGCAUAUUUAUAAGAAUAUAAUAAAAUAAUUAUCAUUAUAAUAAAAAUAAUAUAAUAUUAAUGUUUUGAGUUUUCUAGUAAAUAUUGAACUAUUGAUAUCAUCUCUAUUUUAUCUUUGAGUGAAAUAGAUUCAAAAUAUAUUAUAGAAGUUUAUUCUCAUUUGGGAUUAUCUAAAUAUUUUAAUUAUGUGUAUCAUUAUGAAUAUUUUUUUUAUGUCAUUUAGAAUAAAUUUUUUGAUGUAAUUUUAUACAUCAUUGGUUUAUAUUACUUUGGUGGGUAUAAGGUCAAUAUAAUAAUAUAAAAUAUUAUAUAAAUGAUAAAUAUUUAUUAUAAUUUACAUCUGAUAAGUCUACUAUCCUAGACCACUUUAACAAGUGCAAACCAAAUAAAACUUAAGAAUAUGAUUACAAAUAAUAUUCAUUAAUUUUUUUCAAUCUAAUUUAUGUGAAAAUAAAUCAAUAAUAAUAAUAAUAAUAAUAAUAAUAAUAAUAAUAAUAAUUGAAUAUUAUUUAACAUAAAAAAACUCAAAUGAUAAUUAUAAUCAUAAGUCAUGCUUUUAUAUAAAAAAUAAAUUUUAUCUCAUAAUUUUAAACAUAUGCAUGUGAAUAGCCAAGCAAAUAUUUAAGAUCAAUAAUUAGAUUUUUAUUUAUCACGUAAAAUUUUUUAUCAGUAUGUCAUAUGAAAAACUAUAAAAGAAAAAUAUAAUUUAUUUUUCUUUUAAUUCCACGUGGAACCCUCAAACAAGUCAAUCCUAUUUAAUUUGGAAAGUUCAUAGUUGGACAACCCAAAUUUGCCUAGUAGAUUUGGACCAAUCAUUUGCCCAACGAGAUCUGUUAAAAUUAAAAUAUAUUAAAUUAAAAAAUUGACUAAAUUUUAACUUUUUCAUGAAUUCGAUCAAAACUUGAUUAAUUGAAUUUAAAUCCUGCCAAAUAGUAAAAUACAUUCACGAUCAAGUUGAUCAAAAUAUUUGAUUAAAAUGAAUCUAAUUAGUCAGUUUUAUAAUUGAGAAAAUAAGUCAAUUUUUUUUUUAAUUUUUGAAGGGCAAAACUAUAAUUUUUUAUGGGAUAUAUAAUAAAAAUAUAUGAUGCAUAAAUGGUAGAAAUUAAAUUUCAGGACAUAGAUUAGAUUUUUAUUUUUAAUUUUCGAGGGGUAAAAAUAUCCUUUAAAAAAAAUUCUAAUUCUCAUGCUAUUAUCGUCUGUGUUCCAUGGCACCCAUGUGCAUGGUCUCAUUUGCCAUCUACUUAUGUGUCAAUUGCAUUGGCAUGACUCUUCUCACACCGUAGACCGACAACCUCAUCGCCAUGCUAUCACAUCAUGCUAUCGUGUUCCUCACCGGUGGAACACAUUCAUGAUGCAUCGCUGAUUAAGCUCUAAUGACAUAUCGUCCCACCAUAUAUUCAUGCACAUGCGUUGACCGACAACCCUCACGAUCAUCGUAGUGCGUGGUUAUGCUUGCAUAUUCGCCCUGCAACCAUUGGGAACUGAGACCUUUGGCGUCCAGUUUAAGUUGGUCAUAGCUAGCAAAAGUUGUAGUCAUAAUACUAUAGUCGCGACACUAUUGUAGUUUCCGUAGUAGUGGCACUACAAUCGCCACAACUGCUAUAGGUCAUGGUUGUACUAUAGUCGCUUAUGACAAAGGCAAGUCAACUGCAAUAAGACUCCUACAUAGAAGCAACCAUACAUGCAAUCGUGGCUAGUUGCUGCUUGCAAUUGAGUAGGUAACCACCGAAGGCCAUUGCCCUCAUCAAUAUUGUUGCUAAUAACAAGAUGUUGGUAGUAGUCCAUCGAUCAAAUAUGAGGAACCUCAUCCGCAAACAAGCAUCAUGAUGAACUAGAUUGAAAAGUAAAUUGAUAACAUAUACGGAUUAUUUAAACAUUAUAACUUACAAUAAAAUAACAUCUUUUUAUAAGUGAAAAGUGCUAAUAAACAUAUUUAAAUAUAAAAAAGAUCUAAAAUACUUUUACGAUCUAUAUCACUUUUGCUACAUACGCAGUCGCUGACCGUAAUUGGACUAGCGUCCAUCAAAGGCCACCACCCUUAAUAACAAUAUUACUGAUAGCAAGCUGUCGGUAGUAUUCCAUCUAUCAAAUAUAAGGAAGCUCAACCACAUACAGAUGACAUGAUGGAUUGAAUAAAAAAGUAGAUCAACAACAUAGAUGGAUCAUUUAAAUAUCGUAAAUCAAAACCAAAUAAUAUUUUUUCGUAAACGAAUGGUGCUAAUAAAUAGAUCCAAAUACAAGAAAGAUCUGAAAUACUUUUAUGACUAAAGUGUUUGAUUUUAAAACAUAGCUUUAUAGGUAUAAAAAUCAUGAUUAUGCUAUUAUUUAAAAAACUUUAAUGCUAAAAAUUAAAAUCAAAUGAUAAUAAAUUAAAAAAUAUAUAAUACAUACCAUUCAGUGUCAUUCAAAAAACCUUUAUCUGUUUUACAAGCAUACAAUCAUCGAAUUGAAUUCGAAAGCUACAGCAAUGCCGAUCUAUAAAAAAAACUAGACUUAUCCUCUCUUCCUAUCUUUUACAGGACCACAAUUGAUAAAUUAGAGAGUAAGGAGUGACUAGAGAAAAUAUGUAAUCUUCUAAUGACUAAUAACUAGUGUAUUUUAUCUCUACCACCACGUCUUAUACUUUUAUAGACAAAAAUAAAGUGUCUAGGAUAAUAAUAAGAGAAUUCUCUUUCAUCAUCCUAAAGAAUCCCAACAUAAACUUCUACAAAAGGUAUGGAUAGUUACAAAAUACCCUUAACAAAUAUAAAUUACCAUCGCAUAUAGAAUGAAAAGCCCAAUUUAGAACCUAAGUCCUUGCAAAAUAAAUUUAUUGCAAAAUAAACAAUCGGUGAGGUUUCCAUGUAACAAUUUUGCAACAAAGUGGGCUUUCAUUUAGGCGUGCGUGUUUGUGUGGUAGCCUCAUCUAGUUAGAUAUAUAUAUUUUUUUAUUGUUUGAGGCUUGUAAGUGGAAUCCAUGAGCAAAUCUUUACAUAGAGAUUAAAAAAACAAAAGUUAAAAAAAAAAAUCGAAACCUCCAACCCAUAAUAUGUAGGGAUUUUCUAAUUUAGAUAUAUGACAUAAAAUGUUAGAAAUUUCAACAUAAAAUCUUUGCAUGGAACAAUGACAAAUGGUUGUGUCAUCGUUUAAUUUAAAAUUGCUAUCACUAUGAGCACUUUGUAAUGCAACCGUUGCAAGUGAAAAAAAAUAUAUAUUUUUGUCUGUUGUUCACUCGCCUAAUUUUAUUAUAGAUUUAGAUUAUUUUUAGUUAUGAUAAUAUUCAUGGAAACUCUAUUGCUCGAGAAAAAAAAAACCUUAUUUGACAAUUAAAAUGGGAAACGAUCGAAGAAUCCACACCUUAUUUGAUGACUUAAAUGGAUACACUUUUGCUCGCUCGAAUCCAUUGAACCGAAGGAUCGAUCCAACGUUCGUCCUGCAAUCAGUAUCACAAGGAAAGUUGUGCGACGAGCAAUUUGUGGUGCGCCGCCAAUACUCCAACGAGCUGUCCAAUCUCCAUCCACUAUAGGCCCACACAAACACUUCCAUUCCUUCCAAUAGCAAGCUGGCAUCAGAGCUGGCCGAUGUACGAUAAGGGAAGACGACCCAACCCACCACCUCUCUCCUGGGCUUCUAGACGAGGAAAGUGGGAACACCACUGGUGUCUUCCCCCGACGCACUAUCUUCCCAUACAAUCCAACUUCGAUGGUCAUCGUAUCCCCCACGCCGCUAAAUUGGACCGCACUACAUUCAUCAUAAAAAAGAAUCAACCAAUACUGUGUACCCUAAGCCAUGACCGCUGCUAUCUUCUUCAUUUUGUAUGAUUCUUGAUUUGCUGUAACAAAUGACUGCACCGACGCCGACCAUCGAUGCUUAUAUGCUCGACACGUGUUUAGGGUCGCCGGCCCGGGCCUUCCUGCUCCGCCGCCUGGACCGCCGGCGCUCCCUCGGGUCCUUGGACUGGCCCCACUCGUAGAACCUGCUCUGCUCCGACGGAACGAUGUCGCAGUCGGGGAAGGCGACCGGGUACCGGUUGGUGUCGUAGCAGCAGGAGUACGUCAUGUAGCGCUCGCGGAAACGGCGCAUGGCCGCGCGCUUCUUGGGCGUCAUGAGCGCGAAAUCGGCGGCCAGGAGCUCGUCGUUGGCCUCCGCGCAACGCCGGGCGGCGGCGGAGUCCACCUGCUGGAUCGGGUCGGCGCGGCAGCCCCGGAGAACGAGGUCGGAGAAGUCGGAGACGAAGGGCUCGUACUUGUAGUUGACCUUGUACUUGCCGUUGCCGGUGGCCCAGGUGGAGCCAUCCCAUAUGGUGGCAUAGACGGACAUAGGCUUCGACGGGUAGUCGCCGCCCAUGGCGUCGCUCCGGACCACCUCCCUGAUCGGGGUAUCGUCCACGUAGAAUCUGCAACACCAUUUUGGUCAGAACAAGAGAACAGAGAGAGAGAGAGAGAGAAAGAGGCAGAGCACCAUGCAUACAUGAUAAGUUGCGAGGUCCAGAGGAUGGAGUAUCGGUGAGCCUCGGCGGUGGGAUCGAACGGAAGGACGUACCGCUCCUCGCGGCCUCGGCUGGUGCUGCCGUUGCCGUAGACAUUGGUCUGUAUCCUCCAGUCUUUCCCUCUUACAUUGCCCAGAAACUCGAAGUCAAGUUCAUCAUGCGUCUUCUCAAACAGAUCUCCAUUGGAAGUCUGCAAACAGAGCACAGAACAUAUCCGAUUAAUCUCUCUUCCUCAGAAAUAAUAUUCACAUCUAAUCGAGUUAAUGCUACUAAAUGAUUGACUUUAUGGAUCAUAUCAGAAAAGAAUCGAUUUCUUGAACCGUUCAAAGAACGCGUGCGGAUACUGCACCGAUGUUGUGUGAACACGGAAAAGCUUAGUUGUCUUUCAUGUGGUGUUCGUAUCACUGUCUCGAAAACGUGAAUCAUGGAAUCGUUCACAAAGGUACAUAGAAUUCCACCAUUCAACAUUACGAUAAACCAUCAAAUCCGAUAAAUCAUGUAUUGUAUUACAUAUUUUCUAUAUUAUGUGAUCAAUUCAGAUGCCAAAUUAUUAUUACUAUGAGAAAAAUAAUUACAGUUCAACCAGAAAAGCAAAUUCGGUGGAAUUAAUGAUACGGAAGGAACUCACGUAGAAGGCGACGACGACGCCGGCGGUGUAAUCCGACGGCAGCUUGAUGGAGGCGCUGAAGAAUCCGUGAUGGUACAUAUCGUUCGAUACGAAGCCCGAUCCUAAACCACCACCACAAAAACAACUCGAUUACAAAGGACGCGUCGGCGACAAAGAUGGGGUCAGGGUCGGGGUGGGGUGAGUACCGGAGUAGCGGUUGAGGCUGAGGUGGGCGGUGCGACCAUCGGAGGAGCGGACGAGGUUGUCGUUGCCGAAGAGGUGGGAGAAGCCCUCGUCGAAGGGCACAGCGGUUACGUCGAACGCCGCCGUCACCGUCACGACGCACGAGAGCAGGACGACGGCCGAAAUCAUCGCCAUCCGCCAACUAUUCUCUCCGCUCUGCAAUCCGAGUGUAACUAUGGAUGUCGACGUCGUCGGCUUCCGUCUUCUUAUAGAGAGGGGUGGGGAAUCAGUGGGUGGACGGAUUGAUCUGGCAACCAAUACUUCCAUACCGUGCCGCGCUGCUUCGCGCGUUCCACUUUGUUGACUCGACGCGGUUGGGGAACUACUCGCGUCGCACACGUUUCUUGAGUGGUUCGAACGCCAUGGUCGGUGGGCGGCCACUGAUCGCGCCACUGAUUCGUCGUUUACGAGAAAGGAAGGGAUAUUAAAGAAUAUUGCGAUACAAUGUCUUAGACAUCAAACCAAAGGCAGCAGACGAACGCCAAUCUGUCGCUUCCGCUUGCUCCGCCAUCAUUCCACCACGCUUGUAGAUCGAAAGGGCAAACGCUGGGCGGCUCGCAAGCUGGCGUUGAUCGAACCGCAUAAGGUUCAUGCGCCACCGGUGACGAAUUUAAUUGGAUGCAGUAAAUGAAGUUAGAAACGCACAGAACACGGCAUCGUUGGGCUUCCCGGAGUCCAUUGGUGGGAGAUUGAAUCGAGGGAGGGGAAGCUACAGAGAGCCUAUAAAGAGUUUACUCCACUUGCAAUCGGCAUCAAGGAUUUGAAAGAGCCCUUUUAGACUAUCGUCAUCUAGAAAUUGUUCGUCCCGAGAUGGAAGACUCAAUUUUGCCACAAAAGCUCCCAUGCGGCUUUGAUUUCGUCGCUCAGCAAUGAUCGAUGUUGAAGUAAUGCGUUUAUCGAUGGAGCAGAGGAGGAGCACCGGGGAGGACCGAGCAGCAGACACAACACCCAACCAAAUGUCCCUCUCCUCCGACCAAACAUUCCAUGAUGUUAGAUUUAUUGGGUGUACUAAUGUCGUGUGUUAGGAGAAGUGGGACAUCAUGAACGAGUGAGUUCUCGGAUUCAUACCCACGCUCUCUGAGGAACGUUGCACGCUAGCGGGGAUGAGGCUGUCGCCUCCGGACGCUCUGCGUUGCCAUGAUUGCUAGGAAGACUCCGAGAAGGCUGGUGAUCACUUGGACCAUGCAGCAGGAAGCCUCGAAAACAGACCUGAAACAAAGUGACUUUUCUCUCGUUUCAGAAGCUGUGGGAAUCAAAAGAAACAUAGACAUCUCACAUCAUAUCGAUUUUAGUUGUUUAUUGUAUUGAAAAUUGAUUUAUAAUAAUUAUUUAUGAAGUUAUCAUGUUGUAAGUAGUUAUAGAUAUAUUGUAAGUAGUAAUCCAUGAUCUAAAAGUUAUAUGGUAGUUUCUAUACCUAACUCAAUCAUGAGUGAUAUGAUGGAGUGAUAUAGUUACCUUUAGGUUCUAUAAAUAGGAUCAUAGUUUAUGAAGUAAGAUAGUGUUUAUGCACUUGAAAAUAUCUUAUAAGUGUUGUAUGUCUUUCCUCUUAUUUAAAUACUACAUCGAUUUUCUUGAUCGAAAUGAUUCUUUUUAAUUGCAUAGUAGUAUUUUAUUUUUAUCAUUUCCUUGCUCCUCCGUCCUUAAUAUUUGUAGUAUCAGAGUUAAGUUUCAAUCUGAACUAGGUAUUAUAGCUUUCAAUGGUAAUUCCAUAUCGAAACCCCUUAUUCUCAUUUUCUUGGACAAAUACAAUAAAUUUUAGAAUAUCAAGAUGAAGACUUUAUUCAAGUCUUAAGAUCUUUGAAACUAAAUAGAAAAUAGAUAUGCAAAUCCAGAUAAUGAAAUCAUGUCGAGGGAGAAUAGAAAGGACUCAAAUGCAUUGUUAUUCAUUCAACAAGCUGUAUAUGAGACAAUCUUCUCAAGAAUUACAGUAGCAACAACCUCAAAGCAAACUUGGUUGAUACUUAAAAAUGAAUUUCAAGGCUCAUUAAGGGUGAUUACGGUAAAACUUCAAACCCUUCGUCAUGAAUUUGAAAUUUUAUUCAUGAAAAGCAAUGAAUCGAUGUAAGAUUUUCUUUCUCGGUGAUUGAAAUUGUUAGUCAAAUAAAAUCUUAUGAUGAACGUCUUCCUGAUCAUAUAAUUAUUGUAAAAGUUUUAAGAAGUUUAACUUCAAAAUUUGAUCAUGUUAUUGCUGUAAUUGAAGAGUCAAAAGAUUUAUCUACAUUUUCAUUUGAUGAACUAAUGGGUUCUUUGCAAGCACAUAAAGCAAGGUUGAACAUAUCACUUGAAAAAAGUAAAGAAAAGUCAUUUCAGGUUAAGAAAGAGUCUUCUACUUCAAAAGAAGAUAAAAAAUCAAUAGGAAAAGGACGUGGCAGAGGAAGAUUUUGUGGUAGAGAAAAUGAAAGAGGGAUAGAAAGAGAUACUUUGAUGGGUAUGAUGAACAAAAGCAAUCAAAUUAUAAAAAAAAAACUAUAAAAGUGGAAUUCAAUAUUACUAUUGUAAAAAGUUUGGUCGGUAGAUUGCUAAAAAAGAGAAAAAUAAGCAAGCUAUGUAGAGAAAAAAAUGAAGAAAAUAAUAAGUUAUUUAUGACUCAUUCAUAAGUUAUUAAUGAUAUCUCAAAUGAUAUUUGGUUUUUGGAUAGUGGAUGUUCUAAUCAUAUGUGAAGCAUAAGAUCAAUAUUUAGAUAUAUUGAUGAAACUCAUAGGUUCAAAGUUAGAUUUAAAGAUAACAAGUAAAUCCAAGUGAAAAAGAAAGAAACAAUUAAGGUGAAGACAAAUCAACGGAAGGAAAAAUACCUUGAUAAUGUUUUUUUUGUUCCUAGUUUAUCGCAUAACUUGUUGGUUGUUGACCAAUUGAUAGAUGAUGAAUAUUUAGUUAUAUUUGAUGAUGGUUUAUGCUCUAUUAAAGAUAAAAAAUCUUAUUUAAUUACAGUAAAUAUUUGCAUGACGUAAAACAAGAUGUUUCUAUUUGAUGUUUCAAAUGUUGAAAAAUAUGCUCUUGUUGCAACUCAAAAGAAUGAGUUUAAUUUGUGACAUUUAAGACAUGGACACCUCAACAUUAAGAGUUUAAGGUUAUUAAAUAAAAAAAAAUGAUUUUUGGAUUGUCUAAAAUUAAUACACUUUAUGUAUGUGAAGGAUACAUUUAUGACAAAUAAAGUAAAAAAUCAUUUCCUAUUAGAAAAGCAUGGAGAGCAUCUAAUUAUCUUGAAUUAAUUCAUAUAUGUGAACCUAUGAAUAUAAAAUCAUUUGGUAAAAGUCAAUAUUUUCUAUUGUUUAUUAAUGAUUAUAGCCAUAUGAGUUGAGUAUAUUUUCUGGAAUUAAAAUCUAAAACAUUUGAUAAUUUUUGAAAAUUCAAGGUACUUGUAGAAAGGCAAAGUGGUAGAUAUAUAAAGAUACUUCGGAUGAAUAGAGGUGGUAAAUUUUUAUCUAAUAAGUUUAAUUAUUUUUGUGAAGAAAAUUAUAUUCAUAGAGAAUUGAUAGCACCAUAUAUACCGAAGCAAAAUGAUGUAGCUGAACGUAAGAAUUGAACUAUCGUUGAAAUAACAAGAAGUUUGCUUAAAGGAAAACACAUAUUCCAAUCAUUUUUGGGCAAAAGCAAUUACAACAACAGUUUAUUUGUUGAAUAUUUCAUCAACAAAAGCUGUUAUGAAUUAAACUUCGGUCAAGACUUGGUAUGGUAUAAAACCAAGUGUAAGUCAUCUAAGAAUUUUUUGUUAUAUUACUUAUGCUUUGGUGAAUUCAUAAAAUUAUCACAAGCUUGAUGAAAAAUAUGAAAAAUGUAUCUUAAUUGGUUAUUCCUUAUAAUCCAAAGCAUAUCGAUUAUAUAAUCCUAUUAGUAGCAAAGUUAUUAUUAACAAAAAUGUUAUGUUUGAUGAAAAGAAAAGUUAGAAUUUGGAGACUAAUAAAAGUGGAACACAAAUUCAAAUUCCAGUAGAAUUAGAUGCUCUACAAAAUCAAUUGACAGAUCUUACUCCAAUAAAUUCAUCGUCAACCUUAGUAGCAAUUAAAAUUCUGAUUCCUUAGAUGAAACCCCUCCAGGAAAAUUCAAAUUACUAAUAUAAAUUUAUGACUCAACAUUUGCUUUAUUUAUUUUAGAUCUUAUUAUUUUUAAGGAAGUAGUUAAAAAGGAGGAAUGACAAAAAGUAAUGAAGGAAGAAAUAAAAUCAAUUGAGAAGAAUGAAACUUGGGAGCUAAUAGAUCUACCGAAAGAAAAGAAAGCUAUUUGAUUAAAAUGAGUGUUCAAAACAAAGUUUAAUGUAGAUGGAAAUAUCCAAAAGCAUAAGGCUCGACUUGUAGCAAAAGGAUAUUCACAGCAAUAAGGUAUUGAUUUUGAUGAUACUUUUUCUUCAGUUGCCAGAUUCGAAACUGUGAGAACUUUCUUAGCUUUAGCUGCUCACUUAAGUUGGCUUGUUUAUCAAUUUAAUGUGAAAUCUAUAUUUUUAAAUAAAUAUUCAUACGAAGAGAUUUUUAUUACUCAACCUAAAGGUUUUUUAGUUAAAGGACAUAAAAGAAAAGGUGUAUAAGCUAAAGAAAGCUCUUUAUAGGUUUAAAGAAGCUCUAAAGGCAUGACACAAUAAAAUUGAUUAUUAUUUUGAUCAAAAUAAAUUUAAGAUGAGCAAUAAUGAAUCUACUCUUUAUCUAAAGAAGGAAGAUGAACAUAAUAUUCUAAUGGUUUGCAUUUAUGUUGAUGAUAUUAUAUAUAUGGGUUCAUCUAACUCUUUUGUAGCAAAAUUUAAAAAGUAUAUGAUGAAUAAGUUUGAAAUGUCAAAUCUAGAUUUACUGCAUUAUUUUCUUGGGUUGGAAGUAAAAUAAGGAUCAGAUAAAAUUUUUAUUUCACAAAGAAAGUAUACAAUGGAUCUACUCAAAAAAUCUAAUAUGAUUAAUUGUAAAGUUAUAACAAUGAAUGUAAAUAAGAAAUUGAAACUUGAAGGUAGUAUAUGUUUGACAAAUGCAAAAUACUACAGAAGUUUGGUUGGAGGUUUGAUUUAUCUAACUCAUACUCGACCAGAUAUUACCUUCUAUGUUGGUGUAGUAACCAGGUUUAUGCAUAGCCCAAGCAAACAUCAUUUCAAAGCUAUUAAAAGAAUUCUGCAUUAUAUUACUGAAACUACAAAUUAUGGUAUUUGGUCUUCUCAUAAUUUUAAAUGUAAAUUAUUUGGUUUCACUUAUAAUGAUUGGGCAGGAGCUUUAGAUGAUAAAAAGAGUACUUCAUGUAAUAUUUUUAGCCUUGGAUCAUGAGUUACAUCUUGGAGUUAAAAAAAGCAAGCAAUAGCUACGUUAUCGAUAUCAGAAGCAAAAUAUGUAGCCACAACAUCAGCAACUUGUCAAGCAAUAUGGCUUAGAAGAUUUCGAGAAGAUACUCAUUAAGAACAAAAAAAAAACGACAAAAAUAUUUUGUGACAACAAAGCCACAAUUGCAAUGAUGAAGAAUCCAACAUUUUAUAGAAGAAUGAAACAUAUAGAGAUACACUAUCAUUUCAUCCGGGAUCUUGUAGCAAAUAGAGUCAUAGCAAUAAAAUAUUAUGGAACAGAUGAACAAAUUGUGGAUAUCCUCACCAAGUCGCUUCUAGUUCAAAAUCAUAUUUAUUUCAUGUUGCAAAUCGGUGUAUAUAACUAUGAAUUAAGGGGGAGUAUUAAGAAUUGAUUCAUAGUAGUUAUCUAGGUAGUUACCAUGUUCUAAAUAGUUAUAGACAUAUUCUAAGUAGUGACCCAUGAUCUAGAAAUUAUGAAAAAGUUUCUACACCUAACUCAAUCAUGAGUGAUAUGAUGGAGUGAUGUAGUUAUCUCUAGAUUCUAUAAAUAGGAUCAUAGUCCAUGAAACAAGAUAGUGUGUGUACUUGGGAAUAUCUUAUAAGUGUUCUAUGUCUUUCUUUUUGUUUAAAUACUACAUCAAUUUUCUUGAUAGAAAGAAUUUUUUUUAAUUACAUAAUAAUAUACUAUUUGUAUCAUUUUCUUGCUUCUCCAUCCCCUUCUCCCUCCCCAAAGUAUUCUUCGUUGCAUGGCAUGUCACACUGGUAUAAACGUAGCGCAUACGCGUUCUCUCGGUCACACAUGCCUCACCCUGUCAUCUAUCAUCCUCUGCAAAGCACAACUCACACUUCACACCACACUGUCCUUUUUAACCUCCACUCAUCUCUCCCCACCUUGGCUUACAACUCCUGCUCCUCAGUCCUCUCUGUGGAGCCACCUUCUCACUCCGGUCCCCAGCAGCACAUGAUCAUUUAUGCUCACUCCUCACAUCAGGCAGCACCAGGCCAAUCAAUAUAUAAGUAGUGCUCCUGCUGCCUAGAGGAGGAGAGGGAUAAGAUCUGAAGAGGGUAAGGGAGGAAGAAGACUCUCAUGGAGCUUUUCCCAGCACAUCCUGACCUAUCUCUGCAAAUUAGUCCUCCCAACAGUAAGCCCACAGCAAGCUGGAGUAGAACUGCUGAUGGGAAUCUUGGCUUAGGGUUUUGCAGGAGAGCCAUAGACUCCUCACACAAAAACACCACCUCAGACUCCGCCGCCACCAAGAAAGCCCACCAACUCCACUUCCAACAGCGCAAUCCGUUCCUUCACGAAGGAUAUCGUCGGGAUCUUAGUCCGAUAAUGCCCAUAAGAGGGGUUCCGGUGUACCACCGCCCUCCUGCCUUCCACUUCGGCCUUCGAAACCGGCAGCACCAGCCACAUCCAUGUGACUCGACGUCGCCGUCGAGGUCGACACCGAGACUCCUGCCGCGGUUCCCUGCGAAGCGAAGCACGAGGGCGCCGAGGAUGCGGUGGACGACCACGCUCCAUGCCCGCUUCGUCCAUGCUGUGGAGCUGCUGGGAGGCCAUGAGAGUGAGGAGAUGUGAACCUCUUGUUUCUCUUCGCAUGUUUCGAUCGCGAGUACUGACCGAUGACUCUGGUGAACCUGUUUGGAUGUUAGGGGCGACGCCGAAGUCGGUUCUUGAGCUCAUGGACGUCAAGGAUCUCACCUUGGCUCAUGUGAAGUCUCACUUACAGGUACCGAGCGACCGUAGGAUAUGCUGCUGCUUUGGCUUGCGGUUGCUUCUUUUCCAUGAAGUAUUUAAUAUGGCCUAAAUAAUAUCAUAUGUAUGAGAGAGAAAGAGGCCAUGUUUUGAUGAAGCAUUUAUGUUUGUGUGUGUAUGAUGGUAGAUGUAUCGAACGGUGAAGACCAGUGAUAGACAAGCAGCUUCUCCUGGUACUGCAGCUUCAAUGUCUUUCGGUUUGCUUCUUAUUUGGGUCAUUGCAAUGCAUCAGGUUAAAGGUCAUGUUUUCCCCUCUCUUAGGGCAAGCUGAGUUCAUAGAGUUUUCUGAUGACAACUUGCUCGAGAUCCAGGGACCCGGAGCUUCUACUCAGCAAGGAAGGUCUAAUGGAGAUAGAGGCACCAAUGAUCAUGGCUCCUGGAGCAAUUCUGCCAGGUGUAGAAUAUGCAUCAAUAUAUUUAUUUCUGCUCAAUUCUUUUAUAGCAAAAGCUAUUUUUUUUUCUUGAUAGAUUUAUUUUUAUAGUCAGAGAAUGCUAAUCUUCAUAUCAAAGAAGAGAAAUGAAUGCUUCAUAUACAUAUAUUGUGACGUUUGUUCCUCCUAUUUUGAGAGUUAUAUGUCAUCUUCUUCUCUAGAAAAUUGAAUUGUCUUUCUUCUAGCAAAGCCUGCCAGAUAUAAUAAUCUUUACUUUCUGACAUGAAACUACACUGAAAAGAAAAGAAAAAUAAUAGGAUGGAUGAGUGGUACAAUGUACUUUUAAAAGUAAUCUUUGUUAAAUGCCACUAGGCUGAUAUGAUAAAAGAAAUCAUGAUGAUCUAUCUAUCUACUUUAGGCAGGCAAAGUCAUCUGCAUUAUCAAUCUUCAUCCAAGUGCUCAAAAACAGCAGCAAAGAUCAUAGCAUAGCUUUGUUCCCCCCAUGAUCGUGCAAUGAUCUCAAAAGUACUUUAAGAACUAGAGAGUCUACUCGAUUACCGUCUCAUCCAAAAAACAUGCUCUCUCUUUUUCGAUGAGGUCCUCGCAAUCUUAGUGUAGAAGUUAAGCCUUUUGAGACUUCAUUGCACUUUGUCCUAAUGGGUAACGGGCACCACAUGGGAACUGCUCAUCACCUUUAAUUCAAUGGGUAAAACUGAUAAAGGAAGCAAUUCACAAGAAGCAAAUAGAGAAAGACAAAGUACUUCUUCUUCUUCUUCUUCAAGUAUGCUCUUAUCUUGCAAUGGGCUUUCGCUAAUGCAAUAUAUUUUCUCUUUUUUGCAUGCAGCAAAGGAGACUGCUUCCCUGAUAGUCCCGGUGGUGAUUCCACCAAAUGGACCAAAAACUCAACUGAGGUGACCACCUUCUUCAUGUUAUAGAUGAACUCACCAAAAGAUUUCAUGUAGUGUUUUGCUGUGCAGGAUAUGCAAUCAAAAAGGUUGGAAAUGAUACCCAACCUGAACUCAUCGAGCUUCUCGGAGACCAAAAUGAUAAAGCUCAAUCUUGAGUUUACCUUGGGAACGCCACAUUCCAUCUAGUCUUCUCAUCCAGCACAUUGUAUUAUCAGAAGUGAUGUGAGGGGGGAGAGAGAGAGAGAGAGAGAGAGAGAGAGAGAGAGAGAACUUAUGAAAGCUGAAAGAGAUUGCAUGUCAGAUGGCUCUACUGAUACAAGUCAUUAAGACCAAGAAGAAGAGUCUCUUUUAGUCCUGCCAUAAAAGCAGGAAAGGAUCGGGUUUCUUCGUUCGAUUGCAUGUGCACGAGGUUGCUUUUGUAGUGUCCCAAUAAAGUGAAAGGUGAAGCGCGAUGUUAUGAUCCAAAUGCUGACAGGAGAUGUGUUUAUGGAAUAGAAACUCAUUUUGAUGUUCCAUCACUCCUUCUUCCGUGGUUGUGUUAUUACAAAGAACCAGUCACAAUACGUUAUAUUAAGAUUCUGAAAUUAUUUGGAAUUGUGAUCUAAUUGGAGUCUUACGCUACAUCUUAUUUCAUCCAUAAUCUACUGCAUGCUGACAAACCUGCAUGUCGCGGAACGAGACGACGCCGUCAGAUCCUGUCCGCUGCAGGAGCGUAUCAGAUCGGAUGUCUACGCCUUGCAUGCGUCUCUCUCUCUCUCUCUCUCUCUCUCUCUCUCUCGUAUAUAGCCUCAGCCUUCUACGGCUUUACAAGUUUAGCUGAGCCUCAUACACACGUCUACGUGACCUUUUGGACCUUUUCCUUGUUCUUCUCACUCCAAGAUACUUAUCACUACUCUUAAUGGGGCCCAUUCAAGCAUGUUCUUUUAUUAGUCAAAAUGAUAAAAGGCAUCAAAAAGAGGAAGGAGAGAGAAAAAAGAAUGCGUACCCACUGAUUUGUAAUGUCUUGUGUUUGUUUGUCUCUCUCUCUCUCUCUCUCUCUCUCUCUCUCUCUCUCUCUCUCUCUCCCUCUCCUGUAAUGUCUUGGAAGCAGAUAGGUACAAGACUGGCAUAUAUUGGGAGACAGGGUUUAUUUUACGAGUAUAUUUCUCUUGCAAAUAGUGACACUUUUGGAAGAGAGUGAGGUGACAGGCAUGCUUUCUUGAUUAGCUCGGCCUUGUCGAUCAACCCUUCCUACUUCAGCCACACCAAUAUCUUCCAUGAUGAUUGGAGAAAGGAAGCCUUCUGCUGUGAUGGAAGAUAGCGAUAGAUCUAGUGGGAGUUGACAGCCAGAAGAGAAAGGAAAUUAAUCUUCCGCUGUGAUGGAAGAAAGCAGCGGUUGUUGACAAGCAGCAGGUCACAGAAUCUAAAUCGCUUGUGUUAAAUGCAUGAAUUGGAUGAGAAUUUGAAGGUUACCUGCGGUGUCUCGUACGCACAUGUAGUAGAUUCUGAUCGAUUGGUUGCAGAAGGCGCCAGUGAAAUGCUGAUUCUCUGCCUCCCUCAGUCCCACUUCCUGUGAGAGUAAUAAGGUGAAGCUCAAAACGGUGCCUUCUUGGACAUCGUCCUCUCUCUCUCUCUCUCUUGCGCGCGCGAUAAUUGGUUCCAAGAGGCGGUAGCAGCGCUGCAUCCUCGUUCGUACGAGUCUCGCCAUGCGAGAAUUAAGGGGAAGCUCAAGACGGUGUCAUCUUGCACAACGUCCUCUCUGCAGCAGCACCACAAACCGAUAACAAGAAAAGAUGCAUGCUCUCUGUUUCAGAUCUGCCACCCCUAAUCAGUGCGUCGCACCUGCACCUGCACCAAUAAGUAACUCCUACCUGCAAAGAUGACACUUCGAUGUGAGCUUUUAUGCGUAUCACGAGAAGCGAGGAAGAGAGAGAAGGGUAGUAACCAAGAAAGAUGAGAGAAGAGAAGAGAGAGAGAGAGAGAGUGUGUGUGUGUGUUUUGUGGGGGCAAAGUAAAUGAUAAGGCACUCGAUUGCUUUAUGAUUGGCAGAUGCAGGGGGCAGGCAGGCGUGGGCGGGCAGUCGUGCCAUCACAUCGGCGAGCAGGGGAUGACAGGUAGCUCGGGCUUCUGAUCCUGCGAUAGCGACCCGACCACGCCCUCCCCUGUGUCCUCGUCCGCCCGGCUUUCAAGGGCCUGUCGCACGAAUACAUGCACGUACACUACCUUCUUUCCUCCUCUACAGGCUAAUCUUGAAUUAAGUACGACAGCUACCGGUAGAGGGAAUUGAUUCACGCAGAUGAGAGUCGUUUGUUGGUUUGCAACUGCGAGGAAAUUGAUCCUGAUGUGACCAGACGGCGGCUCUGCGCUCACAGAAGUAUGAACCACAGGUCAAAGUAGUAGUAAUAGACAAUAGAAAUGUAGAUAGUAUUUGGAACAAGUUCAUCUGGCUAAGCUGUGGGAUUUGAAGAGAAGCAUUUCUGUCAUUAUCAUCAUAAUGGUCCAUGUGAAAAUAAUUUCAGAUACGAACAAAUAUCAUGCAUGCAUAAAUGUGCAUAAGAAACAAUGUCAAUAAUAAAUCAUCAUCAUCAUCAGUUACAGUUGUUAUGAUACGCGGUUGAUUACACUGAAAAAAACAUGGGCCAACCCGAUGCGGCCCAGUUACUUUAUUGGUCAUUUUACUGGCUCAUCGCUUCCCAAUUUCUUUACUAGAGGAUUAAUUGAGUUGGCCCCAAAGAAGUUUGAUUAAUGUCAUCAUAAUAAAAAUAAAAAUAAAAAUCCAUUUUUUAAAAUUUCGAUCACUGGGAAAAUAAAUACAACUUCUGAAGAACCCUCCCUAGCUGAGCUUUCAAGUAACAAUCAUAUUUUAAUAGGCCAAAAAGACUCCCAACUUUACAAUUGCACUAGCAAAACUGGGCAAAGAGCAAAUCAUAUUGUGUAAAAGAAACAAAAGACAUGAUGACCACGCAGCAGUUGCUGGUUUUCUACAUGGAUCAGGCUCCAAUUAUUAAAGCACAAAAACCACCAAACUUACUUCAGGCAUGACUUCGGCAAGAGAAAAGAUAAGACAAUCCCCCAAUCCCAAAGAGAUAUUGUUUCCACCGUGUCAAGAGUUGUUUCGCAGGCUUCUAGACGAGGGUUCUGGUGGCUCGUGUCUAGCCAUGGGUGGUAACUGCAAAAUAAGGGCAAAGCACAAGGACCAUUACGACAUGUUCCAUGCUCGCUCUUUCAUUAGCUUUCGUAACUACAAACGAACAGAAAUAAGUAAAAUGACGUUGAACAACUUUUGUAUGACUGUGAGAUGCGAAAAUUAUGAUAAGGGAGCAUAUAGAAAGUGUAGAUACUCGAUGCGUGCAACUGUUGUUGGAGAGAGAUCGACAGACAGCUGCUGUUUUUCUAUUUUUUGGAACUAUAUGUCCUCUGUAUAUAUAAACACAAGAAAAUAGAAGAACUUGAAAUAACACGAGCAUGAGUUUUCUUACAAUAAAAGAUCAAACAGUUUAGUGGAAGGAAAGUAAGCUGUGAUUUGCUCAUUGUGCUAUACAGCUUAUUAAAUGACACAGUGAAAGAACAAGACAUGUAUGUACAAUUCUAUAGAAAAUUAUAAUAUGUAUAAUGGAGCUUGGCCGAUACAACCCGACACUAUAGACUAUUACAGACAAAUAUGUAAACAAGAUGUUUGAAAUAAUGUUUGCAUAUGUCCGUAUCUCUCGAUUUUAUUCAUGCUUUGCACAACAUAUUGAGGGCUGAUAGUAGAUUUGAUAGUCUCAUUUUGGUUAACUUUUGCAGUUGUUUCAAUCCUCUAAAAGCAGGUUGUGUGUAAUCAUCGCACAAAAACAAAACUGUCUAGAAACAGAUCAUCCAAAAGAUCAUUUUGAGAGUUUUCUAAUUUCGUAAAGUAGUAUGAAAUGUCAAUUAGCACAGCAUUCAGGAGCUACCCGAGUGACAUAUGAUUAGAUGAGCUUUUGGAAUAGUGUUUAGAGCUGGUUCGCUAUCUUAUUCCUCAGUAAUAUCAUGUGGGUACUUGUGGGGAUUUUUUAUCAUGGCGAACCAUUUUGGACCCUUUUGUCACAAGACCAUUUAGAGCUUGUAAAGUUUAUGUUUAUAAUUUGUAUUACUUAUCAAGUAUUUGUUGAAAUGAAUGCUUAUGGGAUCCUGAAUUAAAUGCUUUCUCUGAUCCAUCUUCUCUUUUGCAGGUGCUUAAGGGAUCAUAAGAGAUUUUGGAGAGGUUGACCCUUUACAAACGGACACACAUGGGUACCACACUACCUAAGCAAAAUCAACUAAGUCCGUGACAAGACGAGCUCAUAUGACCUCCCAAAAUAUGGACAUCUACAAGUUAGGAAACCGAUAAUUAGAAUUUUUCAAAACCUUGAGUUAAAAGGAAUUAAAUUAAGCCAAAAACUUGAGUUCAAUCAUCAAUUCACAAUGAAGGCAUGGCUGCCAAGUGAGGGUAUUCGUACGGCAAGACUCGACAUCACAUAAAGUUUGUUCCACUGAGACAUUGGCUUCACUCGUUAAUGCCCCUCUACAAAAGAACUAAUGGUUACCAUAAAGAAUAAGGUGCCAUAUGCAUAAACAUACAAAGGAAAAGCAAAGACGCGAGAGAUAGUCCUAGUAAUUAUGAUUACGGAAAGCACUAUGAGGAAUCCAAAGACUUGUGUUCAUCAUCAAGAACUAGGACUAGAUGGUUAUGAAAAGGUUAAUAUUAAAUAAAACAAAAACAGCAAACGGAAACUUGGAAUUUAAAGUGGUUCAAUGAUUUACAUAACCUACUCUAUUUACAGAGUGCCGUAAACUAAAAAAAUCAAAUCUGACACAGCGAUCUGUUAGCAUUUGCAGCAUUUGUUAAAUAUAAAAGAAAUCUGACCUUGUGUUGCAGCCUCAUUAUUGUAGAAACCAACAAUUUGUCCCCAAUGAUCUGCCUUAACUUUUUAAUCAGGUCAAUUCGGUUUAUUUUUCUCUUCUGGUAAAAAAAGAAAAAGAAAUUAUUAUUCAGGAACCUAGACUAGGUCAAGCAGAAAACAACACUUUUCAGGAGGGCGUUUAGACCUUGAAGUCAUUAUAAUGAGUGUGAACCAAGUCCAUGUCUUCAGUAGACACCUUAGUUGAGAUUGCUGCAAAUAACAUUGAGAAGGGCAUCCAUGGUGAGGUUGGAAUUCUUGGUGCUGCUCUAGACACUGGAACCUGAGAUUGAUUUGUGCAGCCCAGAUUUGGCUGAAAAGUCUUAUCCUACAGUACAAAAGAAAAUAACAAUUAUAGUAACAGGCAGACAUAAUACUGAAAGCAAACGGAAAAAAAAAAAGAUCAAUUAGAUGCGGAGAAAAGAUAGCCGCACUAGCUAAAAUGCAAUAUAUCACUCAAAAAGGAAUUUAUAAAUAAUUAACUAGACUUUCUGGUUAUUCAAACUCGGAUGCAGUGGAAAAAAAGAUCAUUUAGAUGCAGAGAAAAGAUGGUUGCACUAGCUAAUAUUGUUGUACAGAACACAGGAUCAGAACAGAAGUAUAUAUUGAGAGAGAUACUAAAUCUCUUUCGCAAUCCAACCAUAAAGCCCACCUUACAGAUAAAUGUAAAUACUUUUGAAGCAUGAAUAUGAAUAUUACUAAAUCUUGAAAAACUAAAAUUCAUCAUGGCAUGGAUAAGGUGAUCAAAAUAUUUGACACAAUAAUAUAUGUAACAACAGCUGACAUUUUUCUACAGUUUUCAAACAGUAUUUAUAUCUCAUGAUACAAAACAAGCAAACGAUCAAAAUUCCUAACCUACUAUUCAGAAAAUAGUAGUGACAGAUAGAGAGAAGAUAGCAAAAGCUUAAUAAUAUGGUUUUUUUUAAACUCAUGAAUCAUAAUUUGAUGCUUAACAAAAAUCACACAUAGAUAAUCUAUCUGAUCUUAUAUUCAUUUCUACAGUAAAAAUUAUAGAAAACAAAUUCUCCUAAGUAGUAUCUAUCAGAUAUCAAAUUAUGUAUCAUAAAAAUAUCUGAUAGUUUUAUAAUUAUUAGAAAACAUAUAUUUCAAUGAAAUAUCGAACAUGCAUUCAAAUGUACCCUUUACAUUGAACAUGUAACCAAUACAGAUACUGUAAGCAUUCUAAGUAUGUUAUGUGAUCAAAUAAAGAAACUAUUCAUGGAACAACUGACUUUUCACAACUCAAGCCUUAUUCCCGGUGCAGCAUUCCAAUGAAAUAUGUUGGGGUAGGAAUCUGCAAAUUGUAAGACACACCUGUAAUAAGCUGUGAGGUGAAUUAGAAUUUGUGAGGGCAGAUACAUUGCAUGUACUUUCUUUCCCAAGCAAACAUUCUGCAGUCACAUUAGUAUGCAAGUAUUUCAGAAAUUCCAUCCAUAAUUGUAAAAAAAUAAUCCACAGAAAUUCUCUAAGUAAUACAUCAAAUGCAUUACCUUCAACUUUGGAGGUUGCUUGAAAAGUCACUGUGAAUUCUGCAUAGAUAUAGGUAUACAAAUUCACAUCCCAAAUAAUAUAAUGCUUUGGCUUAUGAAGAUCAUCUACACCAGUGUCAAAGUUUUCAUUACUAGGCUGACACUGAUUUGAUCCAGGGUGAAUGAGUUCCACAUUUCCCAUUAUAAUGCGGCACAACAUCAGGUAUAUGAUACCAUUUUCAUCGACAUCACAAUACCUAGCACUGUAGACAGCAUAUGCAAGUGAGUCAUUGUUCUACACAAUUCAUUAUAAAAAAUCUAAGAGAAGUAAAUAACAGGUGCACCUGGAGAUCCAGAUGAGAAAUUGUUGGCAGCCUUUAUGAAAGAAAAAUUAAGGUCUUCCUGAAGGUGCACAAACAUGACAAAUGUAAUAUGAAAAUGAAACCUCACCAGAUAUUGGAGCAAUUUGUGGGUGUGAGAUGAAUGCCAUUGCCAUAAAGACGUUCAUGAAAAGGUGGUUUCAGAACCCCAUGCAUCAUCAUCUCUUCCACAGCAUCCUUGGUUGAAGCAAGCCAUGCAUAGCGGACAUUUGCAUUGCCACGUGCCUUUUUAGUGGUUUCAACCCACUCUUGGAAAAUGUUAUACCGAACUAGUCCUACAUCAUUUCUCAAAGGAGUCCUAUGAAUUCCAACUAUAUUUUUUGGAUCAAUGAACUUGCCCAGACCUUGAAGUAACAUAUUCUGCACAGCUCUAUUAACAUGGUGACCACCAGCAGGUGCUUGACAAGCUCCGAAGGCAGGAAUAUUUAGAGGAAAAACAGAACCUGGGUCAUUUUCUCCAACUACUUCGUUGACUUCAGCAUAAGUAUUUUGGUCACUGGUAGAAUUUUCUUCACUCUUAACCCUCUUGAGAUUAGGUAUAAACCCAUUGUCAGCUCCAGAACUUGAACUUUUAGCUGCACUAUUGGAAAUCUUAAAUUGUGCAGUGACUUCAUGUGUACCAUUUGGUUCAGGACUCAUGUAAGCCCGUAUUUCUUUGUUGGAAUGAUAGCAUCUAUUUAAUGCAUACUGGUGGGAGUGUAAUUCUGGAAAGAAGGAUUUGCCAUGGUCAUCAAUCCAAGCUACUGGCUUAACCAAACCUGUUUGCAAAAUCACACAAACCAUGUGAAUGAAGUCCAACAAAAAAUGUUGAUUCUGAUAACCUGCUUCAGUAAUUCCUUUCUUUGACCGAAAAUCAUCCUGAACCAAAUGGACAAUAUUUUCCGGAAAAUCUUCCCAUUGAUCAUUCUCAUAAAACAGCACACGGUGUGGCAACCCACUUUUUAUGAAGUUGCGAUAAUUCUUGACAAUAUGGUUCCCUGGAUAGCAGAUUAGGCCAGUUUUACAGCUCAUUCCUGUGUAGACCUUUAAAGAAGAUUGGACUGCAGUAUGUGGAUGUGCUACCAGACCAUGGCUAUCAUUUGUCACAUAUACAGCAGAAUCUCUCUUCCUUUUGAGAUCACACUUUUCGCCUUUAUCCAACACCUUUACAUUCUUCUGUUCCAUUUUACUCACAAAAAUAACUGUAAACCACCAACUAAUUCAUUCUGAUGUAUUUCUCUUCACAAAGGCUGCCUACUAAUUUACAAUAAUGUACGACUUUGCAUUGGUGUAUAGCCAGAAAAACUUAUGAUAGGGAAGUCAGUGAAUAUGUUUACCCUGCAACAGUAUCCAAAAGUCUCUUAAGUUCUAAAAAGACAUUAAAGCUACAACAACCAGAUUAGACCAAACAAAUCAAGAAGAGAAAAAAUAUGAUGACUUUCAUUUAUACAUGAAAGUAAAAGGCCUUAAUAUAAUUGGUGAUGGCAGAGGAGAAGCAUUUAGUUCACAUAAGAGCACAAAAUGACAAAAAAGGAAAGUACAAAAGGAACAGUCUAUGACCUACUAUAAACAGUGGAACAAGAAGGCCUCAAGUUAACAUGUUAGUGGAGAACAAGCAACUUGGUAUUGUGAUUUCUUGACAUUGCAACUCGAUAUGGAAGAAGAUUAGACCUAUGAAUAUACUUGUAAUUCAUUUUUUGAUCAGGAUGUCACAUCCUGAUAACAUGAUACCGCAUCAUUGAUUUUUUUUCUUUUGUUUGCAUGCACGGACAGCAAACAUCACAGGUACAAGAAGUAGAACAAAUUCGAACACAGCAACCAACAAGAAAACAACAGAGACAAAGACUCCGACAUAUGACCUCAGAAUUGCAACCAGGCAAUCAAGGAUCAUGCAUAUCAAAUUCACAAGACAAUUGACUCUCUUGGUCAACAUGCAUCAUGGCCACAAAAAUUCAGGAGACCUCAAAAUUGCAAACAGACAAUCAAGGAUCAUGCAAGUCAAGUUCACAAGACAAUUGACUCUCUUGGUCAACAUGCACCAUGACCACACGUCAUCCACCAUGAAACGUCGCUAGAUCACUUAACUCCGGAAGAAGUCCAGCAAGAUCAUAACUCUUCUUGGCGAAUCGACGAACCAUAACCCUAAUCGAUAACCAACUAAACGCAAAAGAGGACCCCGAACGAACCCAUCCAUCUCCAGAACUAUAGAAAACACCAUGAAUUAAGCCGAAAAGAACAUCGAUCGGAUUCGAUAACCCAUCCGGGAAACAAAGUUAAAUCCCAUAACAUACAAAAUUAAACCUCAGGCACGGGAGAAGAGAGGAGAUCGAGAGGGGGAGACAAGGAUCGAUACCUCGACAAGUAAAGGUAGAGGCUCGGGUGAUACAUCUCAGGAAGAAGGCCUCUCGCCCUCUCUCUCAUUCGAUCUCUGUGGUCGGGAUUCGGGAAGGCGGUUUCCGUUCUCUCUCGAUCCGGAAGAAUGUGGAGUAGAGCGAGGGAGAAGUACACAAACCGUAGGACCGUCGACGGUCCUCCCACGCUUUCUUGCGCCAAGAGGAAACCACGCGACCCCGCCUAGGUACAUCGAUCCGACGGGUCAGCGAUGGCUUUAAAAGGUAGAAUCUACUUGAUCAAACUUUGACCGUUGAUUGAUCGAUAUUUUGAACGAUGCAGGGAUUGGGUCCCGGGUAAAUAAGCGUGGACCGACUUGUGUGACGCUCCAGUGACGAACACGUGUUGGCGUAGUGUUGACGCAUAGGAAGCAGGGGAGGGGUAAAUGGUUUAGGUGGUGGGGCCACGUUCUGACGGCGCAUACGUGAUCCAAAUUCCAAUUCCACUUUUAAUACGAUAGACUUGUCUACUUUUGUAAGUGUGACAGACAUGGCAUGUAAUACAUAUCCGUAACCAUUUACUUGGAAUGCUAACACCGACACGUGUCUCCAUCAUUCACCUUCGUCUGUUCUUCGGGAGCCGUUUACAAUCGACUCCAUCAACGGGACGGCCCAUCGGACGGCUGAUGACCGCAAGCCGCGGUUGAUCCAACGGUCGAGAUCUCCUGCUGCCACACAAACACCAGUACUCACGUCGACGGAUCUUGACACGAACAAACAAACAAACCUACUUUACUCGUCCACCCGUAGUCCGGCAUUUCCGACGCUAUAGUGGGUCCCGUAUGGCCCCGCACUUUCUACCCAUUCCCAGCACCCGUAGGAAGAGGGUUGAAGAAUAUUGAUCUUAAAGGCAAUCUGGAAUUUGAAGGGAACACACGACAGAACGAAACGAAGGAAUCGACGAAACAGAGUAAAAUAGAAGAGCAGCAGCGAGGACUUCCAACUCGGAGGCGGCGGGAAGGAAGCGUCGGAAGAAAGGGGCAACGGCGACGACCCACCCUCCCCUUUCCUAGGUGCUCCUCGUCCGUUACCCCUCAAUCCACAUUGCCGCUAGAUUUCGACGUAAUUGUGACCCCUCCCCCGUCUCAUCUGUUUGGUCAUUCGAUUUGAAGCCGCGAACAUUGUGAUCGCUCGGUCCGAUAUUUGAUUUACUGAUGGUAAAGACCGGAUUCUUUAGGUAUUUCAUGUUGAUCGAUCUCUCCUGCGUUGUGUACGAUUUUGCUGGCUCGAAACCCGUAAUAUCCGUGUAUUUUCUUCCUUGAAUUUCCAUGUUAGAAUUCUGUUUUAUAUAGUUUAGCUAUUUCUCUGAUUGAGCAAUCUAAUAUAAUUAGGGAGAGAUUAAUUGAUGAUUAAUUUUAAAUUUCCAUGAUUGUGUAAAUAGAUUAGGAAUUAAUCUAGUUAAUUAAUCUGAAAUUAUUUUUUUAUUUACCUUCUUUUGGAGAUUCCUCCUUUUGCUCACAACGACUCUACUUGUUUUUCACCUGUUGACUGACAGUGGGAGGUAACGACAAGAAUAUCGGAUAGUUACUCUUUCUUUCUUUAAAUUCAAGAUUACGAUUUAUAUUUUCUGUGAAUUUUAAGGAUUAAAAGUUUUAAAUUUUCAUGUUGCAUGACAAUGUUUAUUCAAUUAGUUUAGAUUGGAAAUUUAAAUUAAAAAAUUUGCAUAUUUAAAUUAAUUAAUUAAUUUUAAUAUCAUGAUGGAUUAAUUUUAAUGUUAUUUUAAUUAAAGUUUCGAAUCAUGAUUAGUAAGAUUAAUAAAAAUUAUAAAAUUCAUCAUAUUAUCUUAAAUCAAAUUAUUGUAAGGUUGAUUUAUUCAUUUAGUAGCAUGUCGAUUCAUUUCAUCUAGCAUGUUGAUUGAACUAUUUAAUAAAUUUUAUGAUGUUUAUUGUUCAAUCACUUUCGUGUCUUAUAUUAAAUUAAGCUUAUUAGUUUUAAUUAUUUAAUAAUAUUAUUUUAAAAUAGAAUUGAAAUCAUAUUGGAAUUAGGUUGGUAUUGGGUUUUAUUCAAGCUAGACCAUCAAUCAAACCUAGCUGCAUGUGGCAUGAAAGUAUUCUAAAUAAAAUCAAGAGGUAUGUAUCUUAAAUUUAAUUUAUUAUUAUUUACUUUUAAAAAUUGAUAUUAAUUUUUUAUAUAAUAAUAAUAUGAUUAUAAUUUUUAUAUUUAUAAAUUGAUGAUGUCACACAGAGAAAACAACCUAGAUUUUGGAGAGAAAUAUAAUUGCUGAAAUAUUUUCUUUCUUUUGUUAAAAUAAAAAUUUCUUUGUUAGAUUUUUGCUUUAUAUAGUUUAUAUAUUUCCUUAAUUGAGCAAUUUAACUAAAAAUAGAAUAAUCAAUGAUGGAAUUUUGUUUUAAUGAUUAUGUAAACAGAUUAGGAAUAAAAUUAAUUAAUUAAAUUGAAAAUAUUUUUAUUACUUUCUUUUGAGCCCUCGCUCUUCUCCCUAUUUAAAGACAACCACUAUCCUUGUUUCUCAUCAGUCGGUUCGCAGCGUGAAGGAACAAAGAGAAGAUCGUCUUGCUAAAGUGAGAGGUAGGUUGUUUACCUUUUUUUUAAUUAAAGAUUCUGAUUUAUAUGUUCUAUAAAUUUUAGAAAUUAAAAGUGUUUAAUCUUUAUGUUUUUUGACAACAUUUAUUCAAUUAGUUUAAAUUCAAAUUUUAAUUAAUGAAAUUUGAGUGUUAAAUUUAUUAUUUUUUAAGGUCAUGAUGCAUAAAUUUCAUUGUUAUUUUAAUUGGUUUAAGCCUUUAAUCAUGAUUAGUAAAGAUUAAUUAAGGAAUUUCAUGAAAUUCAUGCCAUUUUAUCUUAAAUUUAAUUAUUUUAAGGUUGAUUUAUUAAUUUAGUAGCAUGUUGAUUCUUUUUAAUUUAGCUUGUCUUUUGAGCUAUUUAAUGAAUUUUUACGAUGUUUAUUGUUUGAUCACUUUUACGUCUUGUAUUAAAUUAAGUUGAUUAAUUUAACUAUUUAAUAAUAUUAUUUGAAAAAUUAAAAUUUAGAUUGGAAUUAGGCAAAAUGGGUCCGAAUUGGGUCUGGCCCAAUUAAGACCAUGAGUUACAUGCGCUUGAACAGACCCGACGUGCUAGUUUGACAUGGUUGGAGCCUCUGAUAGCCCAACUUGGUCCAUCCCAUAUCGAGUGGCCCACAUGUAGCUUGUCCCCACGGCCUAACGCGUCGCCCUCCUAUGCUGUGCUAGCACAACCACCGCACAUGCGUUGCACGAGACGUCGAGGGCUUCAAUGGCCCGAUCCACCUCGACUAGUCUAGUAAGCUAGAAUGGAACACAUGAUCGAGCCCCCAAUUUUGGGCUAUAUUGUGGGCCACAUGGGCCCAACGUAUGUAAGCCAUGGGUUGGUCUGGCUCAAGGCCCAUUUGUGGCUUGAUCGAAUCUAUUCAAUUUUGAUCGUUUAGUGAUUCGAGAGGUGAUUUCAAAUUAGUUAUGUGUGCUUCAAAAGUUGGUUUAGGUAAAUUGGACACACUAAAGUCCAUUUAGACUGCUUUAUGGUGAUUUGAGACCAAUUUUAGGUGAUUGAUGUGUUGUUGGUUCAAUUGGGUUCUAGUGAAACCAUAGUUCAAGUCAAUUAUGGGUUGUCAUAGGUUUGAUGUUUUAUAAAUGAUUAAUGAUAUUUGAAGAUUUAUCUGAAUUUAUAGUUUUAGUAAAUUACUGAAAAUUCUAACUGAAAAUCGACAUAUGGUCCAGUGGCUAAUGUGAUGUAUAAGAUUGGCUCAUGAGGAAGUUAUUUCCAUUUGUAGAUUAGUGGGUCGUCGGAGUGGUGGAAUGGGCUAAAAGGCGAAAACCAUGAUAUCAAUCAUUACACAAUGCCUUCAUCCAAACCCUAGAUCCUGUUUCCAUUUCCAUCUUUGGCUAGGGUUAGUUGUUUAGGCUGUGUCAGGGCGUUUGUUUCUCAUGAAGUUGUAAUUAUGUUGUUGCAAUGCCCUUCGAAAUAGGGAACACACUGUAUAAUAAUGGCAGCACCUGUCAAAUUUGUCAGCCUGCCUUUUGUUCUUGUCCCUCCGUUCCUUCAUGGGUUGUUGCACAACACAUGUUCGUAGCUUUGUAUCUUAAAAUUUUCUAAUGACUUCAAUCUUGCCCUUACAAGACGUUUUUUGCCCUAAGCAAGGUGGGAAGCUUUUUUUUCUCAACUUUUCAAUUAGCGCUUUUAAUUGAUACGCCCAUCAAAAUCCCAGUAUUUGGUCACUCCUGUAACUUCUUGAGAUUCAAGAAUGCCAACCUUGAGUUGUUUUAUUUAACUUUUGUUAAAAUUAUAGAUUUUGGUUUCUGCUUUGCAGUUGAGAUUGGAGUGCAAAAAUGAGCGACAAUCUGAUGGAUAAAGUCAGUGCCUUUGGUGAGCGUCUGAAGAUCGGUAGGGCCGAGGUGAGCCGGAAGAUGAAAGAUCGCAUGAGCUCUAUGAGCUUUAAGAUGAAGGAGCUCUUUCAUAGUCAGAACCAACCAGAGAAGAUUGUGGAGGAGGCCACAUCAGAGAACUUAGAUGGUCCUGAUUGGUCUGCCAACCUCAUGAUCUGCGACAUGGUCAACGGCGACAAUUAUAAUGGUAUUGAGUUCAUCCGUGGCAUCAAAAAACGAAUCAUGUUAAAUAAUCCUAGGGUCCAGUAUCUUGCCUUGGUCCUUCUCGAAACCUGUGUGAAAAAUUGCGACAUGGCUUUCUCUGUGGUUGCUGCGGAGCGGAUCCUUGAUGAGAUGGUGAAGCUGAUUGCCAAUCCUCAGACUGUUGUGAAUAACAGGAACAAGGCACUUGUUAUGAUUGAAGCAUGGGGAGAGUCUGGGGACGAACUCGGGUACUUACCAGUCUACGAGGAAACCUACAAGGUAUUAAAUAGUUAAUUCCUUCCAGAAACAUUUUCAAUAGUGUUAUAGUAAGCACUGCAUACUUCAGCAGUUAUAGAAUCCACAGUUGGUGGCAAAUAUGAAAACUUGGUUCCACUAAAUAUUCUAAAGGCAUUUGGCUACCUUCUGUUUUCUAAAAUUAUUGUGUGGCAGUCGUUUUUGGUGCCUGCAGAGCAGAAGAAUUUUCUAGUGCCAUUUCAUUUAUUAUAACUGUAGUUCUUAAAGGGCACCAUGUGCAUUUCCCAUACAGGGUCUAAUGCAGAUCAUGGUUUUAUGGACCAUAAUCUGACUUAGGGCCACUGUCAAGCUUCUAAAUUUUAUUCAUGACUUGUCAUCGGCACAGUUAUUGUCAGAAGAUAAUAGAUUCCAUUUUCAUCAUUGAUGUCAUUCGCCGUGAGCAAGAAGUGGCACCUUCGCAGUGUUGCAACUAUGAUAUAAAAUUAUAAUUUACCAAGUAUUUAUUGUAAUAUAAGCUGUCUUUGAGGAAAAAAGGGCGGUCUAGUGCACAAGGCCUCUGUCAAUGUUUGGAUAUGGGAGGGGUCAAAAUACCCAGCCUUACACUUGCAAAGAAAAAGGUUGUUUCAUGACUCAAUCUCUGGACACAUUAACUUUAUUAUAAUAUAAGCUGCCUUUGCUGUGUUUAAAUUUUCAUUUGUGCAACUUGUUAGAACUUAGAAGUACUUGUUUUUCAUGGAAAAUACCCAAAUUUAUUAUGCUUUAGUUAGACUAGCAGAAACAAUCUCUAUGCAUGCUAUCCUAUUCUUUUUUAUCUCAAAUAAUUUAGUUUUAUGUUCUCCUGUUCUAUCAAGUGUCUAGAUUGUUUUUAGAUAUCUCCUCGAGUUCUUCACCACACCAUGAGCAAAUAGAUCUGAUACGGCUUUGUCUAGAUAUGAUAUAUGAUUAUAAGUGAUACGGCUUUGUCUACACCACACGUCAGAUUUGUCUGCAUAUUCCUAAUGAUUUUUUUCCCUUGUAGAGCUUAAAAUCUAGAGGUAUUCGUUUCCCAGGACGAGAUAAUGAAAGCUUAGCUCCAAUAUUUACACCACCGCAUUUAGUUUCGGAGACUGAAGCAUCUAAUAGUGUAGCUCCGCAGACUUCCGAUGUUCCUAUGGGAAAUUUUACUGCUGAGCAGAUAAAGGAAGCAUUUGAUGUGGCUCGAAACAGUGUCGAACUUUUGUCAACAGUUCUGUCAUCAUCACCUCAUCAAGAAGUCUUACAGGUGAUGUACUUUGAUCCUCUUAAAAAUUGAUAUCUUUUUACCUUUUGUCUAACAAAGAAGGUUGUUCAUGUAAUAGUAUCUUGAUUUCACGUAUUGUUGUUCACUUGUUCAUCUAUAUGGCAUAUUGUCUUUUGGUUAUGUAUGCCUUAUCAAGUGGCAAAGCCAUGUUGUCCUGGACCUGUUGUUUCUCACCUAUUAAUUUAUGAAGCAUGUCAAAGCAUCUGUGCGGUUCAAUCUACUGAAUGGUCUAAAAAUGAUUUGGGUUUAUAUUUUUCUGUAUGUUUGAAUUAGCAACUUGGUUUUAUUACUGGCAUGUUGUAUUUUAGAAUGCAUUAUUACUGAGUCCUUGAAUAGGUAAUAGCAUUACUAGGACUACAUAUUGAAUGGAAUAACUGAUGCAACAUAUGUAGCCAACUCAAUUUAUGAUGACCAAGUAUAUAUUUAUGUGAUCCAUAUCCUUACAAUCUGAAGUAAAAGCAAGAUAUUUAUCACUAUCUGCCUCAGCUCUAUGAUUGUUUAAAGUUUACUGAAUUUCUGCUGACUGUUGGUAACUGUCCUGUCUCUCUGCUUCCAACCUUUCCAAAAAAAGGGACUAUGUGCUAUCAUAUUGUAGUCCAUUUUUGAGAACUUUGAGUUUGCAUGAUAAGGAUCUUAACCACAAUAUAGUAGGCCUUUUCAUCCAAUAAUGGCUCAAACACCAUGGACGCUUCAAAGCAUGUUGCUUAAACCCUCAUAUGUUCUUGCAAAGUGCUAUUUAGCAGGGUAAUUGCAACAAUGAAUUGUAUGUGGAUGUCUCUUGCAAGGGCUAAUCUUCUGGACUGUGUUUCUGUUUCUUUUUUUCCUUCUCACCUUCCUUGUAUCUCAUGAUGAUAGAGCUAUUCUAUGCAUUUUUAUCCAGAACUCAUAAGUUAUUGAUUCACACCUGAGAUUACCCUAGUGUUCUCAUACUUGCUUGUGCUACUACAAAUAAUAGAAAUUAAAAAAAAAAGUCUAGAUGGAGCUAUGUACCAUGAAUUAGUUUGUUGUACCAGAUCAUAGAAAUGGUUGAAAGGCAACGUUGAACUAAUAUGCUGAUCUCUUACGAUCCCAAGUAUGUGCAAUAUUUGAAUGUGUACUAGUGCUUAGUGGCUGUUCAUAUUUACCUUCUUGAUAACAGAGAUCAUGAGACUCUGUUUUGAGUGAAACUGUUUGAACUUAAAGUACCCAUAAAAGGACUUGUGCUUAAGUGAUCAUCUUGUCAGUUUUAUGUUAUUUUCAUUUGAUUUCUGCUCCAUUUUCAGAGUGCAUUUACAUAUUAGCUUUGUUCCUUUGUACAUGGAUCAUCUUGUACUAUUCUAGCUUCAGCUAUGCAUCCAUCCGCCUGGAGCCCACCUUGAGCAUCCUAAUCUGGAAGUCAAUUUGAGAGAAAAACUAUUUUUUUGUUGUGCUUGGAAAAAUAAUGGAUUUUAUUGGCCAACGUUACAGAUUGACUUGAUUAGGCUCACACAAAAUUCAGAAAUUUUGCUGUCUACCUAAACAUGGACUUGACAAGAAAAAUGCAUGUAUACAUUGGGUUACCAUCUCCAUGAAUCAUUGGGUUAUCAUCUCCACGUAUACACAAAUUUGUUUGUUCUUGUUGUUUUCAUGCCUUGUGUAACUGGCUUAAACUUGCCUAAACAGUUCAUUUUUCUUCAUCUAACUGAAAUUUUUCUUAAGAAAGUACUUCAAUUGUAUUUGACUUUUCCUUUAGUCUUGAGCUCCUAACAGGCACCCCCUUACACUCUCUUGUGAUGUUAACCACCUUAAUUUCUAAUGUUAUCACACUUCCAUGUUAAUGUGUUUACAUGUAUGUUUACUUUUAAAAUGUAAGCACACUAGCAUGCUGAUUGACAAGUCUAUCAAGGACGGCACAUCUCCAGUUGGUUUAUGAUCAUCUUUUCCAUUGGAUUUGUGCUUAAUUUUUGUCUGUUGAUCAUCAAUUUAACAACUCUGCUUGCAUUAAAUAAAUUCAAAGUUGAUUAUUCUCUUUAUAUUCAAUGUAGAAAAACAUGAUCAGUGUCAAACAGUUGUAGUCUAUUUGACCAUUGUUUCUUUCUGAUUCAUUGAGAAUUGAACUUAUGUAUGAACAAGUUCCUGCAUCUGCAUACAUUUCGGUUUGGCUUUCAGGGCAUAUUGGCCAUGUAGUUUACUUGCUCGAUCGCUAAUAUUCUCUCUAUGGGCAGGAUGACUUGUCAAAUACUCUGUUCCAACAAUGCCGACAAAGUCAGUACACCAUCCAGAGUAUUAUCGAGGCAGCAGGUGAUGACGAAGCUGUACUCUUUGAGGCCUUAAAUGUGAAUGAUGAGCUCCAAAGGGUCCUCUCCAAGUACGAAGAGCUGAAGAAGCCUCCUGAAGUGCCGUCUGAACCAGCACCUAAUACGAUACCAGUUGUUGUGGAACCUGAAGAAUCUCCUCGAGCUGGCAGAGAAGAUGCUCUCAUCAGAAAACCUGCAGGUUCCAGAACCAAGCCAGAUAGAUAUGAGACAUAUGACGACAUCCUAAAUGAUCUAGAUAAGAUGAUUUUUGGUACAGAAAAAGGUAGCACAUCCGAGAACCAGAAGCCAAAGAAGAAGCAGCAACAGAGUGAUGAUCACACGUCCUUCUAAUUGUUACCCUUCUCUUUAUAGGCAAAUUGUGGUGCUGAUCGUGGUGUAUGCUCUUCCUCUACUUGUCAUUUUAGGAGGCAAAACAUGCUCCAGUUUGAACUGGAUUUCCUUUUUUUUUCAUUGAAGAAAGUUUCUGAAUCUGAACAGAGAAAUUUUCUCAUUUUUUUAUGUAAAUAAGGACAUAUUCCUUGUGAAUGCCAGUUGGGGCCAAUUUGAAUCUAGCAAAUAACCAAUAUAUUUAAAUCUAUCUUGGGGUUAAUAAAGACUAUCCAUAUCUACAUUCGUGUUCAUGUUACAUGAUAUUAUGUAUACCAAUUGUUACAAUGUGAGGAUCUAACUUGUUUAUUCUUUUAUGGAAUCGAUCACAUCCGGGUUCAGAUUUAGGGUUAUUUUGGAAGUAGAGCGGUCUUCUACUAAUAAUUGUCACAUAAUGAUGCACAAUGACAUGGACAUAAUUGUCAUGAUCCAAGAUAAUAAUUAAUAAAUUAAUUCAAUUCGUCUACUAAUAUUGAACUAAACUUUUAGUUUUGUGACGAUCCGACCUGACGGAAUAACUAACUUGUUAUAUUAAGUCUAAAUUAUUAAUCCAAACUCAUUAAAUCUAACAUGGGACUAAAAUCUGAGUAUUAUAACCAAAUAUGACAAAAACUUCAAAUGCAUACAAAUCAUCCAGGUAAUUAUGUCAUUGAAAUCCUUAACUAUAUUAACUAGGAAACAAGUUCAUAUUUCACUUCUUUCUGCUCUCCGUGGGGAAUUCUGGUAAUCUCUAACAAGCAACCUUGCAAGUCAUAUUCCACAAAGGUCAUUUCCCAAUUAAAACUGAGUAGAGAAAUCAGGCUUUGGAAAGAAACAGCUAAAAAAUCCUAGCUAAAAAAAACAUAAAACCUACCCAUGAGAGAACCGACCAAAAACAAAACCUAGCUAAAAAAAACAUAAAACCUAGCUCAAAAACACAAUUUGUCUCCAAAUUAAAUGCGAAAAGAACACAAUACAAGACAUCCGACAUCUUAACUGGUCUUUGGUCCAGUAUCCGACAUUAUUUUGAUGAGAAGUAAAAAGGAUUUAUUGUUUCCGAGUUGCAAAUGUAGCACUAUUUUUUCCCAAGAACUUUGUAGUAAGUUUGCUUGUCAUUUCAAAUCUUGGACCACAUGCGAUCUUGAACCACUCGGUGUGGAAGGAUCGAGGCAUGUCGACCCUCUCGUAUGUGCCCCAAAGCAAUCCCUCUGAGCUUGGACUAAAUUGGCAGGAACCCUCUCCCUCCUGUAGGUAUUGAAAUAAGCCAGACUGGAAGACAUACCCAGAGUGCCUAUACCAGAGUUGAUAGCAAGGCAGCUAACUCGGCGCCAGGCAGCCUAUCAGUCCAAUAUCUCCUUUGUAAACUCUGGGUCAAUCAAGAGCUUUGCUAGCUCUGGGUUUCCAUCGUAAGCCUUCUUAAUGCGAUCCAUGAAAAUUGCACAGAUAAUUCAGCCUCCCUUCUGUAUCUUUGAAAGCUCACCCAACUUAAGUUCCCAUCUAAUUUCAAUGCUCAUUGUUCUUAUCAGGUUCAUGCCUUGUGCAUAGCUGCAAAUCUUUGAGGCAUAAAGAGCUCGCCUCACAUCUUCAAUCAACUUUGCUUCGUCAAUGCCUUGAUCGCCCAAUAUAUCACUGUAACCACCAGAUUGAAAUACUCUGGCAGCCUGAACACCUUCUUUGAGUCCACUGAGAAACCUGGAAUCCAAAGAUGCUUCAAUUGGACAGCCAUUGAUGAUUCAGCUGCCUGUUGGACGGUCCAUUUGCCGGAACCUUUCAUCCCGGUCUUGUCUAAGACCUUGUCCACUAGAUACCCCUCAUAUUUAUCAUCUUUUAUUCCAAAAAUAUCUGCAGUAAUCUCAAUUAAGAAGCUAAGAAGUUUUCCUUUGUUCCAUUCAAAGAAAACUUGUCACAACUUAUCAUUAGAUAGCUUACCAACAGAUUUCAAUACAUCAUAAGCUUCAGCAAUUAGCUACAUGUCCCUGUACACAAUCCCAUUGUGAACCAUCUUUAUAAAAUUGCCUGAACCUGGGCAGCCACUUUGAGAAGGAUGUCUUCGAUAUACUUGUACACUUUGUAUGAUCCUCCAGGCAUCAAAGAAGGUCCAUUCCUGGCACCCUCUUUUCCACCAGAGACUCCCAUCCCAAGAUAAAGAAGACCGAGUUCUGCCAUGGCCUUUUAAUGCUUCUCUGUGUUUUCAUACCACUCAUUGCCCCCAUCUAUUAUACAGUCACCCUUCUCCAUGUAAGCUGAGUGUAGCUAUUGUUUGGUCAACUGGUGAACCAGCUUUCACAAGCAUGAUGAUGACAUGGGGCUUCUGAAUUGAGUUGACAAAUGAUGCAGGAUCAUGAAAACCAUAAACUGGAAGGUUCUUUCAAGUUUAGCACGUUCAAUGGUCUCAUCAACCUUUGAGGUUGUCCAGUUGUACACAGAAAUAGGUAAGUCUUUCUCAGCUAUGUUCAAGGCUAGGUUUUGCCCCCAUGACAGCAAGACCAGCAAGACCGAUUCUUGUGGGAGCCAUCUUUCACCUGAUAGAGAUGUUGGAAUAUCAGAAUUGAAUUAAAUAAGAACAGAGACAGAACUAAACCUAAGAUGAAUAUCAGAAUUGAAUUAAAUAAGAACAGAGACAGAACUAAACCUAAUAUGAAUUUAAGAAUUAUGCACUAUAAAAGUAGCAUCAUUUACUAGAAUGUUUACAUAAGCAUAUAUAUAUAAUCUUAACUAUCAUUUUACAGAAGCAUUUAUAUUAGCUAAUCCAAACCAAGCAUCAUAGCCAAAAUGGAGCCAGAACUUCAGGUGAAUAGUGGUUUAAAUUAUCUUUUUGACUACAAGGGAAUUCUUUAGCAACUUAACAUAAAUAGGCAACCUCCACACUACCAAAAUACAAGUGAGGAGCUUCUACCUAAUAGUACCCAAGAAUAAAUUUAUGCAAUAUCACAAUCAUUUUGAAAAGAAACCUCAAACGUAUUGCAAUUUAAGAUUCAGACUUCUAUACAAAAGUCAAAAUGAGAAAAUUUGAGAUGAACUGAAUAGCGAGAUGAAUUUCUUCAAUGUGAAUGAUCAUAUAAAGUCACACAAGCAGUAACAUGAAUUUUUCAUACUACUUCAUAUAAAAGUUAGAUCAUCAUAUUAGCCAAUAAGGAAAGAAUACAGAAGAAAACACGGUGACACAUAGUGGCUGUCUCCUACGGUUGAAACAACAGGAGAAGGGAGAGGAUGACAAAGUAGAAUCCUACCUUAUCACCAUCCACCACUGCCACUGCAUGUCAUGCUGUGCGAGGUGGUUGAGAUUUUAACUCUUUGUCUAGGUUUUAGGUUGUCAGAUUACUGGAUUUUGUAGGGUUGAAGCCAAAUUACAUUCAGACACAUUGCAGAACUACCAAAUUUGGAAAUGAUCCCAACUUUAUUUUCAGACAUCAUGGCAUGUAAAAAAACUAAACCUGAAAUUUUCAGGUAAUAAAAACUCGAUCUGAUAUAGUGCGACUUGUCAGACAUAUUGGGUUAUAUGGAAUUUACCCGUUCUCUCCCUCGAUCGAAAUAUCCUCUGUUUCGCCUAAGAAAUAUUGUAUUGAGUGAACCAUCAAUCAUUCGGAGCGUGAAGUGCAAUUAGAUCAAUUUAUUUAUUUUGAGGAUCAAUUAGGAGAAUUUAUGGUUGACUUGGAAAAAAUAAAAAUAAAGAAUCCAGGCUCCGUUAAUCAGAAUGUUUACCAUCUGUAAUCAUAUGCAGACAAUCUACAUGCUUAAUCAGCUUUGUUUUUCUCAAUCAACCUGGAACUGAUCUGGAUUAGAGCCCAUCAUUGGUCAGCAGACCAAUCCAAACAGAUAUAGAUAAAUCUCUAAAUACUAACAGAAGAACCCCUAAACACACCCAAACAAAAUCUGAAGUUACAGAGAUAAAGCCACAUCUCUAUCUCCCAGAACAGCACAAUUUUUAUUGUUUGUCUUAAAUUCACCAAAAAAGAAAAAUAAUAACAACUUUAUCAUAUGUUCUAGUUUCCCCAGAACAUGACCACGUUGGCUUCCGAGAACAGCAGCAUGAAUUUGAACUGUUACAAGCCCACAGGCGCUGCAAAAUCACAACUUUAUCAUCCACAAAAUCAUAUCUUGAACGACAACUCUAGCAUCACAAACAAAAAUGGGAUCUUUCCUCCAACUACACCAAAGAAAAAGAUGAUGUAUGCGUAUAAACUUGUCCUAUGACAACCAUCGACAAUGCAGAGACCAUAAAAGCGAAAUCAGGAGCGCAAACCUGGAUGAGAUGUUUCACUCCACAGGCAAGGCUCGUUUAUUUUUGGUGAGAAGACCCUUUGCAUUUCUUCUCUUCUACUUUGGUAGAAGGCGAUCGACUAUAUAGACAAAGCAAAACCCGACUCCUCUCCUUUUCCUUCACCGGUCUUUUGUCUCC